rnacentral:lncRNA from 1 species
GAUUCAGACCUUGACAGUUGUAACCGAUAGACUGGGCUGGGGCAACGCUGAUGAAAGGCAAAUUCCUGAGAGAAAAAUCACCCAGAUUUUUCAGUGCCUUCUCUAGCUUUCUAGAAGUUGUUAUGAGUGGACCUGACUACCUAGAGAGAGUAAUACAGAAGCUCCGUGCCGAUCACAGCUACCUCAUUACCAUGUUCCUCCAAGAUGGCCGCCCCUGAGGAGAAUCAUCAACUGGGCUUUACGGAAGAGAGAAAUCCAAACGACCAUCAGCAACAAAUGAAAGACUGAAGUUGAAAGGAAAUCCAUAAUUUUUGAAUGCUGGCCGAGGUCUGUGACCUCUGACUGAAUGGUUUCCAAGCUCCGAAUUCCUAGGUGAUGUUUUCAUUUGUUCACACUUGCUGAAGAAGGGAAAGGCUCUCUGAUUUACGUGUAAGCAAAACAAUCUAAACAGUAGGAUAAAAUCAUGUUGGAAUGGAGUUCUGUGUGGAUGCUCCUUUGAACCAAAUCAGUUCCACAACUGACCCUGUCAGGGACAUAUAAAUUUAGCAUUUUGGUGUGGAUACAGAAGACGAGAUUAACACAGAUCAAGUAACAUGGAAAUAAAAAAGGAGACAAUGCUGGAUGAUACAGGGGCAGCCAACAAGAGGAGAAAACCCAAGCAUUGGCAAAUGCCUCAUUAUCCAAAGAACACUGAGGUGUGGAGCAAAACUGUGUUGAAUGAACUGUAGAUGGAAAUUCUCUCCUUCCCACCGAGGAGCCGCUGCAGGUUGCAGACUCCCAGAAUGCCACACUGAGAAGAGGAGGGCUAAAAUUCUAGAGCAGAAUCCCUGGGGCAGCCCCUGCUGAAGAAGGGUGCAUCUGUUGAGAAUCUCAUCACCGCCCCCACCCCGCCCAGCCUUCAAUUUAGAGGAAUUUCUAGUUCACGCAGAAUGAAGACAAGAUCACAUAAGGGCCUCAGAGUAUGUCAGCUGGGGUCAGACGGGAACAGGAGUCUGGCUCAACACACAUUUAUUGCACUCCUGUUUCAUGCCAAGAAAUGUACCAAAAUCUGGGACUGUGUAACACAGCAAAGGAAAAGACUCAUCUCCAGGAAGCCCCCUUGUCUAGGAAGAGAAAUUGAAUAUCAGCAUAAGGUGGUGAAAAGCUGUGAAGGAGAUGAGUGCCAGGAGUCCAUGGAGGAAGGAUUCUAGCCUGGACAGGUGAUUGUGGUGAAUAGUCAUGAGAAUCUGGGAACUGGCUCCUGCUCUGUCUAUCUUGGAGAUGCAUCUUUUAGUCUCCAUGAAUUGCAAGGGAAAACAAGUGGUACACUGGUAUUUCUAUUUGAUAACCUGUUCUCUUUGGAAUUCCGGUUAGAAAUCAAAGGCUUACUUGAGUUUUAAUGCUUUCGGGACUUCAAAUGCUUUUCUAUCUUCCUAAUAAUAUAUUAACAUUUUCUGAAGACAACAUAUAUGUGGAAAACAACAUUAUUUACUCAAAUAAUUUUUUUUGAAAAAUGGACCAAAAAAAAAGAAAAACCAACAAAAA